rnacentral:sRNA from 1 species
CAAAGACGUCCAGCGGUGCGCCCAGGACUGCUUCAACGUCAUCGUAUCGCCAGACUAGCGUGGUGCACACUGCGAUUCAGAAUACAGGACUGGGCCAAGAUUCUGUUCACUGAUGAAUCCAGAUUUCAUUUGGAUAGCAUUGACGGCCGUUGUAGGGUGUAUCGUCGCGUUGGGGAGCGUUACCAGGACGCUUGUGUUGUGCAACGUCGACAAUUUGGUGGAGGUUGCGUUAUGGUGUGGGGUGGAAUAUCAGCACGUGGAAGGACCCCUCUACAAAUUGUCGAUGGAAAUCUCACCGGCGUACGCUAUCGAGAUGAAAUUAUUCAGCGUCAUGUGAUACCCUUCAUACAGAGACAUCAAAAUCACAUCACUCUGCAGCAAGACAACGCAAGGCCACACGUUGCACGUGUAGUCAGGGACUUGUUUGUUCUACCGAAUGUCGAUUUCUUGCCUUGGCCAGCUGUUUCCCCCGACUUGUCGCCGAUCGAGCACGUCUAGGAUGAAAUGGAAAGACGUUUACGCCGAUUACCAAAUCAGCUAGUGACAUUGGCUGAUUUAGGCCAGGCUUUAACCAACAUCUGGAACAACACCCCUCAAGCAUUUCUGAACACUUUAGUGGCAUCAAUGAGGCGUCGAUGUCAAGCAUGCGUGAACGCAAAUGGUGGUCACACGCGUUAUUAAUUUUGUUGAUUCAAUUUCAAAUAACAGUGACUUUCGAGUGUGCUGAAAUUGACGUUAUUCGACGUUGUCAUUAAUGUGUUAUGAGAUGUUGUUACGAAUACACGUGUUAACAGUAUUACACAAAAUAAAAUUUGUUCAU